CAUGUUUCGACCUGUUUGAACUGAAUGAUCGGGACAGGUUUGAAGAAGGAGGAAGUGGAACUCUACCUUCACCCAGGGUCGAGCGUCUCUGUCCCCUCUCUUUGUUGUUUUUGCACAUUCGAAAGAGAAAAUAUUCUGUUGUUUGGUUAUCCCAUUGAGAUAAGGCAUUCCUUGGUGGAACCAAAAGCCAGUUGAGAGACAUACCCUGACCUGUCGACGGCUCAGCCCAGAGGCCACAGAGAAGGAAGUUUGCUGGCCUCUGAUCAGGUCUGGUGGGGCCGAGUCAGGGCUCAGGGCUCAGGGCUCAGGGUCAGACCUUGAUGAAGACGGCCAGGCUUAGGUUGAUGCAGCGGGCCUCCUCUUGGACCUCCACGUGGCGGAUGGUGAUGUGGGGCAUGAUGGACAGCAGCAGGGACUGCAGCGCCUGGUUGAAGCUGUCUGGAAACCGCUGGCUGCGCGGCAUCUGAGGAACCCCCGAAACACACCGCCAAAACGUGAACCGAGAUACCCUCCGGCCCCAAGGAGGGACGUCAUCAGUGACAGUGAAAUGAUAAAUACAGCGCUCCAGAAUAGUGCACUCGGUCCUUGCUUUCAAUUACCAAAUGUUAACAGCCUUAAUGAAUCAUCACCUGAGCAUCGCCAUGUGCACUUACACCCCAAACCCGCACCAACAAACCCAAAACACAGAAAACCACACCCACACACAAAGAUAACGUGGUGUCCUUGCCAGGAUCUGAACCAGCAUGACGUGUUGUUAAAACAACAUCUUGGGUAGAGAUGACGUUCUUCUUUUUAUAGGAGAUAUGUAUUCAUAGACAUUCCAGUAAAAACAAUGUCAUGGCUUGUUAUUUAAUUCAAAAUAUUGUCGCUUUGUGCGACCCAUCACACGUUCUCCAUGGAUGAUUUGUGUAAAUUUGUGUAUGCUAAAUACAUUUUACGUUUCCACUGU